AUUAGGCAUUUUUUUUUUAAAUUUAUUUAGUUUACUUUCUUUGAAGUUUUCAAGUGGAAUGGCCUAUUGGAAAAAAGAAAGUAGAAUGGCCUAGCUAUAGGUUUGUUGUUUAUGUGUAGUUUUAGGCUUAGCUUUACGACGAAUGAAGAGUCAAAAGUUGGAAAAUAUGGCAUUGACUUGAGUGGCCAAUUAUUUAAGAAAGCUUUCUCUUUACAUCAAGGUUGACUGUUGACCCAGCUUCAUAUGGAGGCCGUUUGCGCUAUCUUUCAAAGGGAGGAAAGAAAAUGAUGGGAAUAAAUUAAAAAAAUAAUAA
rnacentral:misc_RNA from 1 species